UAAUCCAUUCAUUUAUUGGUGCCAAUCUUGC
rnacentral:piRNA from 1 species